UCGACUAUUUCAGCACUGAGACUAAUGUGUUCUAGACUUAGAGGGUGAGUUUCCCGACGGGGCGAACGGGCUAAUGGGGCUUAUUUCCCUUUGUAUUUUGUGAAAAGCAAAAUAAGCCCAUUUAGUCCUGUAGGGAAGCUCAGCCUUAGCUGUAUUUGUUUCGUUUCGAAAUGCUGCUUCUUUUGCUGUGUUAGUUUUGUGAUUCAAUUCUUGUUCUUUUCUUGUGUAACGAGAAAAGUGAUGACAUUAGUUUGAAAAUUAGGAUGUUGUGAACCCCAAGGUUGGCCUGGUGGUGAAGGCCUGAGACUUGGGUUUGUUUUCUCCUAAAAUCUCAGGUUCAAAACAGGUGCUAUCAACUCAUUUGGGGUCAGCCCAUAUAGAGCUUUGCUCUAGCUUUAAUUGGGACCCCCGCAAUUGAGUGGUAGGAUUGGUCCCCAAGAUAAGUCGAGGUGCACGAAAGCUGACCCGGACACCUGAAUAUCCCUAAAAGGAAGAAGAUGAAAUCUCUAAAGUGAUGCUAGGAGUAAUAAUUUCGCUUUACUAGAUAACUUCAAUCCCACAGCAAAACCAACCAAAGAACGAGACACCAAAGUUACGUGGAAAACCCCAAAAUCGGUUAAAAACCACGAGAAUGAAUCAUGCACUAAAACAAAUGUACGAUUACAAAUAUUCUUACUAAAUGAAUGCGUAUCCUCUCCAUGAGUCCUAAGAACUAUUUGCCGAAUCCACGUUCAUCCUACCCUUGAUGAUCGCCGAAUUCCAAAUCCUCAUGCCUUCCAAAAUCCUUUCGAACUCCAUGAAAGAAUGUCGCACAGAUGUUGUUGAAGUAGGAACAAGAAAAGAGCCUCUCGAAGAUGAACUUUUAGCACCCAGUAUUCAUGAAUCUUCAAGAUAGAAUCAACCAUUGCCCUCAAUGGUAUUCUGAUAUAACAAGAAUGGCUCACGACUGCUCAGCAGGCUUAAGCUUGUUGUCAAGCCAGCUUCUUAACAGAUUCGUUGGCUGGAUCCAGGCUUGAUUGUGGCUUGAGCCUACAUACUGGAAACUCAACUGAAUGCCCACAUCUUCGGAAUACUCUUGACUAACACUAACACUCAUACACUCAUUGAUUCCAUUCCACUCCUAAAACAGACACUCUAAAAGAAAGAAAA